UGUGAAUCCGAGAAACCACUAAGGAGCCGACACCGAUUCAAACACAGGAGGGUUGAUGUACCAACUCGAGCUUGCGUCCAAGUAUACCCGACAGGGCGGAGCAGGGACUUAGACCCCGAGUUCAGUCACUCAUCAGGAAAUGCAUCUUUAUGGAUUGGAACGAACCGAGAGACUUUAUUACCAAUGGUCCUAUUACUAUGUGAAGGAUUCUUCCCUGAGAUUCUUCCCCUGUUUUAACUGACACUGAAACACUGCGAACUCUUUGGAAGAUAAAUGUCCAGGAAAUAAAUGUUAUGCAUUGCUAAUUUUAAAUGCACUUGCAA